UACGAAGGGGGCUAGCGUUGCUCGGAAUCACUGGGCGUAAAGCGCACGUAGGCGGAUUCUUAAGUCGGUGGUGAAAGCCUGGAGCUCAACUCCAGAACUGCCUUUGAUACUGGCGACCUUGAGUCCGGGAGAGGUGAGUGGAACUGCGAGUGUAGAGGUGAAAUUCGUAGAUAUUCGCAAGAACACCAGUGGCGAAGGCGGCUCACUGGCCCGGUACUGACGCUGAGGUGCGAAAGCGUGGGGAGCAAACAGG
rnacentral:rRNA from 1 species